GAUUCCUACGGGAGGCAGCAGUGGGGAAUAUUGCACAAUGGGGGAAACCCUGAUGCAGCGACGCCGCGUGAGUGAAGAAGUAAUUCGUUACGUAAAGCUCUAUCAGCAGGGAAGAGAAUGACGGUACCUGAGUAAGAAGCCCCGGCUAACUACGUGCCAGCAGCCGCGGUAAUACGUAGGGGGCAAGCGUUAUCCGGAUUUACUGGGUGUAAAGGGAGCGUAGACGGCAGAGAAAGUCUGAAGUGAAAGCCCGC
rnacentral:rRNA from 1 species